ACGAACGCUGGCGGCGUGCCUAAUACAUGCAAGUCGAGCGGACCGGAUCGGAGCUUGCUCUGGUUUGGUCAGCGGCGGACGGGUGAGUAACACGUGGGCAACCUGCCCGCAAGACCGGGAUAACUCCGGGAAACCGGAGCUAAUACCGGAUAACACCGAAGACCGCAUGGUCUUUGGUUGAAAGGCGGCCUUUGGCUGUCACUUGCGGAUGGGCCCGCGGCGCAUUAGCUAGUUGGUGAGGUAACGGCUCACCAAGGCGACGAUGCGUAGCCGGCCUGAGAGGGUGACCGGCCACACUGGGACUGAGACACGGCCCAGACUCCUACGGGAGGCAGCAGUAGGGAAUCUUCCGCAAUGGGCGAAAGCCUGACGGAGCGACGCCGCGUGAGCGAAGAAGGCCUUCGGGUCGUAAAGCUCUGUUGUGAGGGACGAAGGAACGCCGUUCGAAGAGGGCGGCGCGGUGACGGUACCUCACGAGGAAGCCCCGGCUAACUACGUGCCAGCAGCCGCGGUAAUACGUAGGGGGCGAGCGUUGUCCGGAAUUAUUGGGCGUAAAGCGCGCGCAGGCGGUUCCUUAAGUCUGAUGUGAAAGCCCACGGCUCAACCGUGGAGGGUCAUUGGAAACUGGGGGACUUGAGUGCAGGAGAGGAGAGCGGAAUUCCACGUGUAGCGGUGAAAUGCGUAGAGAUGUGGAGGAACACCAGUGGCGAAGGCGGCUCUCUGGCCUGCAACUGACGCUGAGGCGCGAAAGCGUGGGGGGCUAAACAGGAUUUAAAUUCCCUGGUAGUCCACGCCGUAAACGAUGAGUGCUAAGUUGUUAGGGGGUCACACCCUUUAGUGGUGCAGCUACUGCGAUAAGCACUCCCGCCUGGGGAGUACGGCCGCAAGGCUGAAACUCAAAGGAAUUGACGGGGGGCCGCACAAGCGGUGGGAGCAUGUGGUUUAAUUCGAAGCAACGCGAAGAACCUUUCCAGGUCUUGACAUCCCCUGACAACCCAAGAGAUUGGGCGUUCCCCCUUCGGGGGGACAGGGUGACAGGUGGUGCAUGGUUGUCGUCAGCUCGUGUCGUGAGAUGUUGGGUUAAGUCCCGCAACGAGCGCAACCCUCGCCUCUAGUUGCCAGCACGAAGGUGGGCACUCUAGAGGGACUGCCGGCGACAAGUCGGAGGAAGGUGGGGAUGACGUCAAAUCAUCAUGCCCCUUAUGACCUGGGCUACACACGUGCUACAAUGGGCGGUACAAAGGGCUGCGAACCCGCGAGGGGGAGCGAAUCCCAAAAAGCCGCUCUCAGUUCGGAUUGCAGGCUGCAACUCGCCUGCAUGAAGCCGGAAUCGCUAGUAAUCGCGGAUCAGCAUGCCGCGGUGAAUACGUUCCCGGGCGUUGUACCCCCCGCCCGUCACACCACGAGAGCUUGCAACACCCGAAGUCGGAAAGGUAACCCUUUCGGGAGCCAGCCGCCGA
rnacentral:rRNA from 1 species